CGCAAUGGGCGAAAGCCUGACGGAGCAAUGCCGCGUGGAGGAUGAMGGCCUGUGGGUUGUAAACUCCUUUUCUCAGAGAAGAAGAUCUGACGGUAUCUGAGGAAUAAGCAUCGGCUAACUCUGUGCCAGCAGCCGCGGUAAUACAGGGGAUGCMAGCGUUAUCCGGAAUUAUUGGGCGUAAAGCGUCCUGAGGUGGCUUACCCAGUCGACUGUGAAAGCUCAAGGCUCAACCUUGAAACGGCAGUCGAAACUUGUAAGCUUGAGUACGGUAGAGGCAGAGGGAAUUCCCGGAGGAGAGGUGAAAUUCGUAGAUAUCGGGAGGAAGGCCAAAGGCGAAAGCACUCUGCUGGGCCGAUUACUGACACUGACAGACGAAAGCUAGGGGAGCGAARGRGAUUARAUACC
rnacentral:rRNA from 1 species